AUCACCAAAGAGCGCAAAAUCUCUGAAAUUAUUAAAGAAAAACAAAUACAAAACAAAUUCAAUUAUUGAAUGCCAAAGCAUUAGGUAAACGACAUGUCAUGUAACAUUUUAUCAUCAACUAUAUUUAUUUGAAUUAUAAUAAGGGUAAAGUUUAGUUUGGACCACCAAAUAUAUUGCUCUAACUUACACCACUUCAAUAUAAGUCAUUGAUAUAUUUUAAAUUUAUUGUAACGGACUGGAUCUCAUGAUGACUACAUUUAGUGUAAGUUGCUACAAUGGGGUAUUUUAGUGGUGUAAAUUGGGGCAAUGAAUUUAGUGGUGCAAAGUAAAUGAACCCUUAUAACCCCUAUAACAAGUACAUUGGGUAUUUCUACAUUCCGGUUUUCGAGGAAGCACACACUUAAUUUUUGUUACACAAUGAGAGUCCUCACUACAUUCAAAAAUUACUGUAAUGAUAAAAGAGAAGAUAAAAAUGUUACUAAUUAAAGGGGAUAAAAGGUUAGGUAAGAAGUAAAUAAUAAAAUUGUAAAAUAAUGAAAAAUGACUUACCAGCAUCAUUCAUUGCAAUGAAAAAUAGUGAAAGAAUGUGGAUUGCAAUAUAAACAAACUUAGUGACUUUAGCCAUAUUUUUCCCUUUUG
rnacentral:lncRNA from 1 species